rnacentral:rRNA from 1 species
UACGGGGGGGGCAAGCGUUGUUCGGAAUUACUGGGCGUAAAGGGUUUGUAGGUGGCUUGUUAAGUCAGACGUGAAAUCCCUCAGCUUAACUGGGGAACUGCGUCUGAUACUGGCGAGCUUGAGUGCAGGAGAGGAACGCGGAAUUCCAGGUGUAGCGGUGAAAUGCGUAGAUAUCGGGAGGAACACCAGUGGCGAAGGCGACUACCUGGCCUGUUUCUUGACGCUGAGGCGCGAAAGCUAGGGGAGCAAACGGG